GACGAACGCUGGCGGCGUGCUUAACACAUGCAAGUCGAACGGAAAGGCCCUGCUUGCAGGGUACUCGAGUGGCGAACGGGUGAGUAACACGUGGGUGAUCUGCCCUGCACUUCGGGAUAAGCCUGGGAAACUGGGUCUAAUACCGGAUAGGAGCCAUUUUUAGUGUGAUGGUUGGAAAGUUUUUUCGGUGUAGGAUGAGCUCGCGGCCUAUCAGCUUGUUGGUGGGGUAAUGGCCUACCAAGGCGGCGACGGGUAGCCGGCCUGAGAGGGUGGACGGCCACAGUGGGACUGAGAUACGGCCCAGACUCCUACGGGAGGCAGAGGUGGGGAAUAUUGCACAAUGGGCGCAAGCCUGAUGCAGCGACGCCGCGUGGGGGAUGACGGCCUUCGGGUUGUAAACUCCUUUCGCUAGGGACGAAGCUUUUUGUGACGGUACCUAGAUAAGAAGCACCGGCUAACUACGUG
rnacentral:rRNA from 1 species